rnacentral:rRNA from 1 species
CGAAGGGAGCUAGCGUUGUUCGGAAUUACUGGGCGUAAAGGGCGCGUAGGCGGUUUAGCAAGUUGGAUGUGAAAGCCCAGGGCUCAACCCUGGAAUUGCAUUCAAGACUGCUUUACUUGAAUUCGGUAGAGGUUGGUGGAAUUCCCAGUGUAGAGGUGAAAUUCGUAGAGAUUGGGAAGAACACCCGUGGCGAAGGCGGCCAACUGGACCGACAUUGACGCUGAGGCGCGAAAGCGUGGGGAUCAAACAGGAUUAGAUACCCUGGUAGUCCACGCUGUAAACGAUGCAUGCUAGACGUUGGAAAUCUUAGAUUUCUUGUGUCGCAGCUAACGCAAUAAGCAUGCCGCCUGGGGAGUACGGCCGCAAGGUUG